CCCUUAGAUGUUCUGGGCAGCACGUGCGCUACAAUGGUCUUCGCAAACGGAUGCAUUCUCGAAGGAGAAUGCCAAUCUUGGAAUCUAUGCCUUGGUCGGGACAGUUGCUUGCAAUUUUUCGACUCGAACCAGGAAUUCCUUGUAAUCGUGAUUCAUCACAUCACGAUGAAUACGUCCCUGCCCUUUGUACACACCGCCCGUCGCUCCUACCGAUCGAAGAGUUAGGUGAAUUGUUUUGAUCGAUAAGAUUUGACUAUGGUCAACUCUCGUUGUGAAAUUCUGUGAAUCUGACUGUUUAGAGGAAGGAAAAGUCGUAACA
rnacentral:rRNA from 1 species